AUUUCUGCAUCCUCUCAGUCAUGAUGAUAAAGGAUUUACUACCUCAGUCAUGUCACCACUCUUGAAUAUCAUUCCCAUGGCAUGGUGCAGUAGGAACUGCCAUUCUGGGCCUGGCGCGGUGGCUCACGCCUGUAAUCCCAGCACUUUGGGAGGCCAAGGUGGGUGGAUUGCCUGAGAUCAGGAGCUCCAGACCAGUCUGGCCAACACGGUGAAACCCCAUCUCUACUAAAAAUACAAAAAAAUUAGCCGGACGUGGUGGCAUGAGCCUGUAAUCCCAGCUACUCGGGAGGCUGAG
rnacentral:lncRNA from 1 species